UGCUAAAUCCUCCGGUUGAUCGGAAAAAACUUGCACCUGAAAAAAAUCUACGACGGUUAACCUACGAAAAAAAAAUACCUACGCCCCGACCGCCGCCCGCGGGUCGCCCGCUCCCUCGUGCCCCUCCUCAAUCCCGAUCUGGAUCGAGGGGACGAGGAGCUCCUGCCUCCCCGACGGCCGGCCUCCUCCUCGCCCCGCCGCUGCGUCUGGCGCCGCCAUGGCCUCUGGAGCCAGGGAAGCCAUGGCCUGAGCUCGGCCUCGAGGUCCCCGCCGCCGUCUCCUGCAGCUUCUGCCCCGCCGCCUCACCGCCCGAGCUCGCCGUCGCCCCAACCUCGGCGCCGCACCGCCGCCAGCUCUGGUCGCCUCCACCUCCGCUCCAGGAAACCCUCGGUCGCCGGCUCGCUGGAGCACGACGGCAGACGAUGGAUGCCCUGGUUGUGUGCGACGGAUGCAGUUCUCACGUGCAAGCUAGGGUUGGAGCCGCCAGCUCUUCAUCCUGCCCGCCGGCGGCGACUCUUCCCGUCCCGCACUGCCGCCUCCCCGUUAUCACAGGUUCAUCUGGUCCUUUACCCCUCACAUAAUAACUGUGAAACUUAAUGAGGUAUUUCUGAAAAAUGUUCCCUCCCCUCUGAUGUCUAUUUGGUUACACAAUUUUAUGCUUGUGUGGUCUGGCUGUUCCUAAGUGCUUUCAGACAUUAUUAUUUGUGUGAUCAGCAUUGAGUAGAUUGCCUGCAGCAAGAUAACUUGAGUUUUUUUACUUAAGUAAACGAUAUGUAAAUAGCUCUAAGUUAACUGGACAUUUUGUCGCAUUGGCUUGAAUCUGCAUGUUGCAUCAUUUGUGCACAAUGAAAACUGUAUGAACCUGCAUUAGAUGGUGUAUUUGUAGGAAGGUUAUCCUUUCUUCAAGGACUGGAAGUUUCCUGGUAAGUGUUCCUUUUUCUGAAAAAUUCUGUGUUUGUUCGCUGUAAUAUUUUGUUUACAUAAGGUUUCUCUUUCCUUUUAUGGGCAUAAUGGGUGAGACAAUAAUAUUCAGAAAGUUGUUGUUUUAGGGAAACUGCUAACUCCAUAUGUCAGACCCAUAUCAUUGUUGAGCAUGCAUAGUGUUCCUAUGUCAUUUCUAUGAUGUAUUUGUUUCCUUUUAUAUCACAGUAGUCUUCAUUUUGGCCAUGUACCUUCAAACUGAACCAAAAAUGGUUUGUCUGAUGACAUGUUUGAGGAGAUUCUUGAUAUGAAACAGUGGAUAUGAGGGUGACCGUUUUUUUGCAAGUUUUGUCUGUGGAAUCUUUUUGCAGUUGAUAAGACAUGGGAUGGACUUACUUCCGAUCUGCAAUAUUUUCGGAAGCUGAAUUUUAUGUGUUGACAGAAGAUGAGUCACCCUGCAUCUUUGGUCCAAUCGUGAAACAGAGAUGGUCCUACACGUGCGCAAAGCAGCUUAUCGAGAGGCUUGUUUUUGCUGAAGGCGUAGAAAUGGCCUUGAAUUCACGAUUGUGAGACCUUUCAAUUGGAUUGGGCCAAGGAUGGACUUUAUUCCUGGUGUUGAUGGUCCUAGCGAGGGUGUUCCUCGGGUUUUGGCUUGCUUUAGCAACAAUCUCCUCCGCAGAGAGCCCCUGAAGCUUGUCGAUGGCGGCGAGUCCCAGAGAACUUUUGUUUUUCAUCAAGGAUGCCAUCGAAGCUGUUCUUUUGAUGAUUGAAAACCCUGCUCGAGCCAAUGGUCAUAUCUUCAAUGUUGGGAAUCCUGACAAUGAAGUCACUGUUAGGGAGUUGGCCGAAAUGAUGACAGAGGUCUACGCUAAGGUCUCAGGAGAGCCCCCGCAGGAGGAGCCUGUGAUCGACGUGAGCGCGAAAGAAUUCUACGGGGAAGGGUAUGACGACAGCGACAAGAGGAUCCCCGACAUGACCCUGAUCAACAAGCAGCUAGUUGCAAGGUGGAAGUCGUCGAUGUUGUUCAAUAGUAUGUUGCCCCUGGAGGGGAAGCCGUGCAUGUGACCAGUGAGGAGAAGCAGCGAGGGCUCCAGUUGUGAGAGGCUGAAGCUCGGGGACGACGACGUCAUGCACAAGAGGGCAUACAGGAGGCUGUUCUCUGAACAUCCUUCCGGAGGAAUUAUGACGAUCCAAAAGAGGUUGUAGCAGUUAUACUGGGCAGUAGCACUGGGACUCAUAUUUUCCCUCCUACAAGCAAAAGAGGUUCCUGUUGGAAAGGCUUAUUAAAUCAACUUUCUUAAUCGUCACAUUCAUCGCACAUACCUUGGCAAGGGAAUCAAGUUCACUUAUGGAUCUGCUGAUGUAAUUCUUCUCAGCUCGCAAAGACAUCAACCAAGACGUGCUUAUGAAGUCACAAGCUCAUGUCACGACACAUCUCACUCUGAGUUGUCCUUGAACUUAAUAAAUGUGGUGUACCAAGGAGAAGAACUUGUUUAUGUUUGACAGUUCGUCAAAAUAAACAAGUAGUAUUGAUGGGUAAAAGGCACCUUAUUUACUGCAGUAGGUUCUCUUGUACCCUUUUUCAGUGGAGUUGUACUGGCAUCUUUGACUGAAGUUUCUUUCAACUGCAAGAAUCUUUUUACCGACAAGGAGGAUGAAGUCAAGGAUGAAGCCAAGGCAGUGGGUAUGGUCUCUAGGUCGAGACCAUGGCCCUUAGUGCAGUCGUUGCACACAGCCGUUUCGUCCAGUGCCUCAGACGGGCUUGGGACUUUCUGGCGUGCGUGAAGGAGUAGAUGGCAGGGGGGCGCGACCAACGUUCUAUGCACUGUUGGUGGGCUUGGGGCAUCACUAUGGGCUGUAGGUGGCGAGGAUGGAGAGGCAUGUAUAUCUAUAUUCAGCUAUCCACACUCUGUUUUGGUGGCAACCCAAUUGCGAUGUCCUCGUCGACUACCCUAGCGUCAGCCGCCGCCACCUCAAGUUAUGCUGCAAGGCACUAACACCGGAUCAGCAUCACUGUCAGGCCUCCCCUCCCCCUGUCUAAGUUUGUCCCAGGAUAAAGUACAGUAUACUCAACGGAUGGCAGGUUCAUAUAUGCCAUAUAGAGAUGGAGAACCGGGUGCCUGAGGGACAUCGAGCUUUCCCAUGUCUUCUCCCUUCAAUUCAACGUUGUUAAGAUGAACCCUCUGCAACAGACUCUUGGACUACAUCAAUCGUUUUGUCGACCAAGUAUCUGUACUGGAGCAUGAUCCCAGGAGUGGAUCACUGCAUGCUAUCCUGACAUGACUGGGUCCAGGCCAGAUCUGUGUCUACAGAAGCUCGAGCGGAAGAUUCCUCGCCAGCAUCGGAGCAAUUUAUUGGCCAGAUCGACACUAAAGCUCCUGCAUGGACGUGAAGGCAUGUCUUUAUUAAGUUCAAUCUUUGGAACUUGGCAUGCGACGAUGUGUAAAAAUAGAAAGAUGCUAGAAAAUCCCAUAAAAAAAAGAUGCUAGAAAAUUGUCUUUGGCCAAUUUCGUAUGUAGCUGUGAGCAUUGCUAAUUUCUGUCAACAUGAAUGAUAUUUGGACUAUUUAUAUAGCUACCAUGUGCUGAACAAAUUUUCUGAUUAAUGUAACACUCCUGAAUA